UAGGUUGGGGACAACAGUUGGAAACGACUGCUAAUACCCGAUGUGCCGGAAGGUAAAAGAUUUAUUGCCUGGAGAGGAGCUCGCGUCUGAUUAGCUAGUUGGUGGGGUAAAAGCCUACCAAGGCAGCGAUCAGUAGCUGGUCUGAGAGGAUGAGCAGCCACACUGGGACUGAGACACGGCCCAGACUCCUACGGGAGGCAGCAGUGGGGAAUUUUCCGCAAUGGGCGAAAGCCUGACGGAGCAAUACCGCGUGAGGGAGGAAGGCCUUUGGGUUGUAAACCUCUUUUCUCAGGGAAGAAGAUCUGACGGUACCUGAGGAAUAAGCAUCGGCUAACUCCGUGCCAGCAGCCGCGGUAAUACGGAGGAUGCAAGCGUUAUCCGGAAUCAUUGGGCGUAAAGCGUCCGCAGGUGGUUUUUCAAGUCUGCUGUUAAAGACUGGAGCUCAACUCCGGAAAGGCAGUGGAAACUGAGAAACUAGAGUUCGGUAGGGGUAGCGGGAAUUCCCAGUGUAGCGGUGAAAUGCGUAGAUAUUGGGAAGAACAUCGGUGGCGAAGGCGCGCUACUGGACCGAAACUGACACUCAGGGACGAAAGCUAGGGGAGCGAAAGGGAUUAGAUACCCCUGUAGUCCUAGCUGUAAACGAUGGAAACUAGGUGUGGCUUGUAUCGACCCGAGCCGUGCCGUAGCUAACGCGUUAAGUUUCCCGCCUGGGGAGUACGCACGCAAGUGUGAAACUCAAAGGAAUUGACGGGGGCCCGCACAAGCGGUGGAGUAUGUGGUUUAAUUCGAUGCAACGCGAAGAACCUUACCAGGGCUUGACAUGUCGCGAAUCUCCUUGAAAGGGGAGAGUGCCUUCGGGAGCGCGAACACAGUUGGUGCAUGGCUGUCGUCAGCUCGUGUCGUGAGAUGUUGGGUUAAGUCCCGCAACGAGCGCAACCCUCGUCUUUAGUUGCCAGCAUUAAGGUGGGCACUUUAGAGAGACUGCCGGUGACAAACCGGAGAAAGGUGGGGAUGACGUCAAGUCAGCAUGCCCCUUACGCCCUGGGCUACACACGUACUACAAUGGUUGGGACAAAGGGCAGCGACCCCGCGAGGGAAAGCGAAUCUCAUCAAACCCAGCCUCAGUUCAGAUUGCAGGCUGCAACUCGCCUGCAUGAAGGAGGAAUCGCUAGUAAUCGCAGGUCAGCAUACUGCGGUGAAUUCGUUCCCGGACCUUGUACACACCGCCCGUCACACCAUGGAAGCUGGUCACGCCCGAAGUAGUUACCCUAACCUUUCGGGGGGGGGGACUCCUAAGGCAGGGCUAGUGACUGGGGUGAAGUCGUAACAAGGUA
rnacentral:rRNA from 1 species